ACUGAAAAGCAAAAUUGGGUGGGUAAGAUAACUCAACUAGUAAGUAAGCUACCGCCAGGAAAGCAUGAAGACCUAAAUUCAAUAAUCCCUAGAACCCAAGUAAUAAACCAGGAAUGGUGGUUAUUGUUUUCAACUAUACUACCUAUACAUAGUUUUGAUUUUGUUGUUAGGAUUUGUUUUUUGAAGACAGUGUUUCAUAGCAAAACCCUGAAUGGCCUGGACAGAACUCACUAUGUAGACCUGGCUGCCCACAAACUCAAUAGAAAUCCACCUGCCUUUGCUUUCUCAGUGCUGGGAUUAAAGGUGUGCACCACCCUGACUAGCAUUCUUUUUAAUAGCUACGUGUUCAUACCUGUUGGAUUACUUCCUUUUGUACCUCACUGAAUACUUUGUAGAAUAGAAUAUGGAAUUAAUCUUCUGUCAAGUUGUGAUUUUUACCACAUUUAUGUUUGUCUUUUGACUAUGGUACAUUUCUUACUAUUAGAAAACUAAAAGUAGGGGCUCGUGAGAUAGCUCAGCACUGACUGCUCUUCCAGAGGUCCUGAGUUUAAUUCCCAACAUUCACAUAGCCAUCUGUAACAGGAUCUGAUGCCCUCUGCUGGUGUGUCUGAAGAAAGUGACAGUGUAUUCAUAUAAAUAAAUAAAUCUUUAAAAAAAAGAAAAAGAAAACUAAUAGAAUUUGAUCAUUUUAAAGGGGAAAGGUGGGCUGGAGAUACGGUUUGUGGUUAAGAGCACAUGCCGCUUCUGCAGUGGACCUCACUUCAUCAGGUUCCUAUCACAUCACAGUGGCCCAAAAUGCCUUAACUCCAAUUCCAAAGGAUCCACAACCUGCUUCUGGGCUCCACGAGUAACUGCACACACAAACAUAUAUGCAGGCAAAACAUCCAUUCAUAUAAAUAUAAACUUAAAAAAAGAAU
rnacentral:lncRNA from 1 species